rnacentral:rRNA from 1 species
AUAGGGAGCUUGCUUCCUCACUCGAGUGGCGAACGGGUGAGUAACGCGUGAGGAACCUGCCUCAAAGAGGGGGACAACAGUUGGAAACGACUGCUAAUACCGCAUAAGCCCACGGCUCGGCAUCGAGCAGAGGGAAAAGGAGCAAUCCGCUUUGAGAUGGCCUCGCGUCCGAUUAGCUAGUUGGUGAGGUAACGGCCCACCAAGGCGACGAUCGGUAGCCGGACUGAGAGGUUGAACGGCCACAUUGGGASUGAGACACGGCCCAGACUCCUACGGGAGGCAGCAGUGGGGAAUAUUGCACAAUGGGGGAAACCCUGAUGCAGCGACGCCGCGUGGAGGAAGAAGGUCUUCGGAUUGUAAACUCCUGUUGUUGAGGAAGAUAAUGACGGUACUCAACAAGGAAGUGACGGCUAACUACGUGCCAGCAGCCGCGGUAAAACGUAGGUCACAAGCGUUGUCCGGAAUUACUGGGUGUAAAGGGAGCGCAGGCGGGAAGACAAGUUGGAAGUGAAAUCUAUGGGCUCAACCCAUAAACUGCUUUCAAAACUGUUUUUCUUGAGUAGUGCAGAGGUAGGCGGAAUUCCCGGUGUAGCGGUGGAAUGCGUAGAUAUCGGGAGGAACACCAGUGGCGAAGGCGGCCUACUGGGCACCAACUGACGCUGAGGCUCGAAAGUGUGGGUAGCAAACAGGAUUAGAUACCCUG